CGCCGCCGCCGCCCCCGGCGGAGUAGGGGGGUAGGGGAGCAUUGUAACGGCGUUGAAGGCGUACCUGCGAGGGAUGUUGGAGCGGUUACAAACGAAAAUGUAGGCAUAAGUAACGAUAAU
rnacentral:rRNA from 14 species